CAAUGAAUGUAUUUAAUAACUAUAUGUGAUUUAGUUAUGUCCACUAUCUUGCAGACCACGCAGCCAACAGACAUAAGGUGCCUUUGUCUUCGGGGACUGCCAGUCAUCUUCGGGGAUGAUCCCUCUGAAUUCUUCAAACCUUCCCUGACGCAAGUGACAAGGACUUGUACAGUCAGAUGCGAGUGGGAAUCAUCUGCAUUGACGAAAAUCCUCAGCUCAACCCAUCCAGAGUAGGCAUCGUGUUGGAGGGGGUUGUGGUCAUGGAGGAGCUGGCCAACCUACCACAGGCCUUCUGUGAUCUUUUUGGACUGAUUUAUGCCUUGCACUUAGAUUACCCUAAAUGCAUGAAAAACACCUUCCAGUUCAUUCAGCAGGUGAUGCUCAACCUGGGCAGAGGUGAGCUUGCACCAAAAAUCCAAACACUGAAAAAUCAACUCUCUGUCUAAAACAGUGUUCUGAAAUAUACCACUGUUCCAAAUACCAGUGCUUGGUGCUGUUGCAUGUCUAAAAUACCAUGUUUACUGUUUUGCACUGUUUGUGAUAUGAUUUUAAGUAUUUCCACUGUCUUUGUGUCUUUCUGAUGAUGAUCAGAUGAUGGUAUUUGUACUGAUCUAGCAGUUUGGUUCCAUCCGUAUUGCUAGGCAUGUUUUAUGGUUUUAUUGUGGUUUUAUUAUUAGCAGGACUUAGGGUCCUUGUAGUCCUCCAGCAAUCCUGUCAUAGUGGGAGCAUGGAAGACACUGGCAUUGUGCACAUCAAAGCUAAAGUUGUGGUUCCACUUUCCAAUUCGUGCAUGUAGAGAGCAGCAGAAGUUAAAAGAGAAGAGGCAGUCUUCUUUCGCUUCUAAAAUAUGUUAUAUACUGCCAGGGUCAACCAAGAACAAAUAAUAUGUUUUAAAAAUGUUUCCUGUGCCCCAAGUUAAAAUAAAACAUGAAAAGAAUGUA